AAGGGAAUAUGCAGAGCAUAGCAAUCCCUUGUCGCAUAUUCCCCCAAUAAGAGACGGCACUCCAAAUUGAGGGUGAAGUAGAACUGAAGCUUUUAAUCAAACACUCUGCUUUUAUGCACAUUUUGCACACAUAACUGCCCACAGGGUUUUGCAAAACAGCCAAUAAAUAACAAUAGGCUAAGUCCCCAGAGGAGAUCACCCAGCUCUUCAUUCUGGAACAUUUUUAUAACGGACACCCUAAUAAAGUCAGAGAAUGGGUGAGAGACCAACAGCCCUAGACCCUCUCCGAGGUGGCUUAGCGGGCCGAUGAAUAUCUCGACACCCGACGGCCCCAGUGUCCAGUUCUAUCGACCAGCCAUUCGACCGUUGGUCUGGCCCAACCCCGUGGCCACAAUUCCUCUCCGUGGACCCCCGGUCCGAGCACCCUCCUCGAGAGUCUACCCUAGGCUGCUUCCAAUGUAACCAGCCUGGCCACCGCAAACUCAACUGCCCCAAAAAACCAGGGCAGGUUGCAGUGGGUCACCCCCGUAGUCCCUACCAACCCACGAGCCACAGCACUGUGCUACCAGAAUGACCCCACAGAGUUCCAGAACUCAGACGAAGAAGCCUGGACAAUCCUGCAUGAGGUCAGCCCUGUUCAGGCCGCCCACGAUAACCGGAACCACUACAGACAGACCGUACGGCUGAAUGGGCACAAGGUCCAGGGGCUCCAAGACACAGGAGCCACGCUGACGCUGGUGCAUCCACAGCUGCUUCCGGAAGAAGAACAGACAGGAGGUACGGUAGUGAGCUGAGUGGCCGGAGGGAACGUCCACUAUAUACCCACUUCCCACAUCCACCUGGGGCGCUGGAACCCAGAGAAUCAAAG